GAACAAAAUAUUUUCUCUUUUUGUAACCCUAAUGCUAUUCAACGCUCUUCCUUAUCUCCUUCUCCAUACGCCGCCGCAAGCUUUCCUUCGACACCCACCGGCGAGUUAGGCUUCGUUUGGCAAAAUAUUUUUACUUCCAAUUUAAUACUUAAUUCGGGAGUGGUGCUUUUAUUUGGGGAUUCAUGAUCUAACAACCAAUUUUGUUGUGGGGUUUAAUAGUAUGAACAUUUUAGUGUUUUUUUUUUAUAAUCAAAAAUUUAUUAUUAGGGAGUAUAAAGGGGUACUCAAACCCUUACAACAAAGAACACUAAACUAAGUGCUCAUUGAAUUUUUAUAAGUAAUUUAAGCUUCCUAUCUAAUUUUAAUACUGCAUUGAGUAAAUGUUGUCAUGUGAGUUAGAUUGAUUGUCCAUAUUAUCAAGAUUUCAACUUUUUUGAAAAAAAAAGGAAAACAGAGUGAAUUGGCAAAGCGAGGCAUUAAUUGAGUUUUUUUGCAAAUGUUUUCUUCUAAUGAAUCUCAUCUGUGCUAUGUUUUAAGUAGUGUUUUCUUUUUGUGGAUUUCCAUUGUUGUUUGUGGUUGAUACCCAUUAUGGGGAUAAAAAGAUGCAAAUAAAAUUUAUGGAUGAAUGUCUAGGUAUGUUUUGCUAUUGAAUAUAUCAAAGAAGACAAAAAAGGUCAUGAAAGUCAUAAAUUUCAAAAAGAAACUAUAAAUUUACCCACCUUUUAGAGAAUAUAUUGGAGUUUAGACGUCUGAAGAUUUCAUGAGUAUGUAAUAUGGAAUUGUGAUAAAUUUUGAAUUAAUACAUUUCAAGUCCAAUUUUUUUUUUUUUUGAAACCUUGCCCACCUUUGCAUUGUAUGAAUACUCAAAGUAUGGCUGCAUUUGGAAGUCAUUCAUGGUCAUUGAAAAUAAUGUUUAGUGUCAAACAAUUGGCAAACCUGGUAACUCUUAGCAGCUUUUUAACUCUUGUUAAAGUAGCUUAUGAUGCUCAAUGGUAGUCCUUACAUAAGGAGGUCAAACAUAAUAUAUAAAAUAGAGAAAGAGUCAGGUGUUAAAUUUGAACACGUAUCUGCCCCCAGGCUAAUGAUAUUGCCAAAGCUGUUGGUCGAGAAGCUUUAGAAAUGAUUAAACAAGUGUCUAUAGGUAUGAUUCUUUAUUCGUCUAUUGUGUUUAAUGUUGUGUUUUGAUCUUUAAAUGUCAUAAAUGCAGUGUGAUUCCUGCAUUCAAGUCUGCUGCUGAGGAGCUUUUAAAAACUCUGGUUUAUCAGAAGUUGAUUUUUACUUGGAAAGGCUCUAGCCAAGGCUGUUGCUUAUGAUUGUUCGUGUGGCAACUGGGGGAAAAUAUGCUAUAUGGUCCACAGGAAUACCUUCUGCAGUUCAUUUAUGUUAUGGUUCAUAUUCACGAUAAGUAGGCACACACUUCAGCUUGCUUUUUAGGAGCCAGUUUUGCUGUUCGAACAAUUUAAUUACUACCAUUACCGUGCGCUGAUUCCAUUCUUGUGCAAGCGUCAUCACCGUCAACACCGAAUCCCUAACUCGGUCUCGUUCAAAAUCUCCUUCGUCACCAACGCCGUUCAUCACCAUCUUCGAUUCAUCACCAAAUCGCAUUCUCCGAUUCAUCACCAACACCGUUCAUCACCAUCUUCGAUUCAUCACCAAAUCGCAUUCUCUGAUUCAUCACGAACGCCGUUCAUCACCAUCGUCGAUGCAUCCAAUUUCUUCAUCUUUCAAAUCUGGAAUUCACCAUUGCACCAUCGCCGAUUCAUUCCUGAUUCACUGAUCUCACGUCAAAAGCGUUCUCCAUUUCGCAACCGACGCCGCAUUUUUCUGAUCUAUUAUUGAUUUGAGUGUAAGUGUGUUUGGAGUCUCAGCAGAAUCUAUGCAGUGUUCUUAUGAUACAAAAGGAAACAGUGUCCCAACUAUUCUCAUGCUAAUGCAGGACCGUUUAUAUUCACAGGGGGAACUAAAGGAAUCCCUUAAGAAGGUUGAUUUUACUUGGAUGAAUUCUAUCACGGCAAUGAUAAAGGAUCCUGAAGUUGAUAAAGCAUUUGGAUGGGUGCUUGAAAUGGAACACCAUCAAAGGAAGUUGAUUCUGCCAAAGAAAGUUCAAAGCCUGAAAGGCCAUCUGUUUUGUCUAAGAGAAGUGGCCAGACUUCUAUAUUACAUCAUAAGAAACCCACUUCUAGUGUUGAUGCUGAAAUUGUUGGUGGUUCUACCUUAAGUUCGCAGGCUAUGCUGAAACAAGAGGUUUCUACUGCAUCAUCAAAAGCCGCUGCUCUUAAAAAAGGUGAUCGAGUAAAAUUUGUUAGUAACUUUCCACCUGCUAUCUCAUCACUACAAAAUUAUUCUUCAAGGGCGGAUUCUAGCAUGAGAGAGCCACUUAUAUGUCUCACCUGUGAGAGACUGAAUUUCAACCGCUGGAUGAGUUAAACGGUUGUGAUGCUGUACCUGGAGAGAGGAAAAUUCCUGCAGUUAUACCAGGUUAUUUCUGUCCUGCUUUGGCUAAGGCUGUAAAAACAAUGAAGAAGGGAGAGAAAGUUCUCUUGAAUAUUAAGCCAGAAUAUGCUUUUGGUGAGAGUGGAAAACCUUCAUCAGGAGAUGAUGGUGUUGUGCCUCCCAAUGCUUCGCUCCAAAUGGAUCUUGGGUUGGUCUCGUGGAGGAUUGUAUCUGACAUUACUAAGGAUAGGAAGGUCCUUAAGAAGAUCUUGAAGGAAGGAGAGGGAUAUGAAAGACCAAAUGAUGGAGCUCUGGUUCUAGGUACAGUUUUGCUAAUCAAAGCUUUUAAAGGUUUUUGUACUUUGAUUUCAUUUGUAAAGGUGAGAAUAUCAUGUCUUCAUUUUCUUUAGGUUUUUUUAGUUUUGACAAAGUUGGAAGAUAUACUUGAUUACUUAUAUAAUGCUAACGCUAACGUGUUUA